rnacentral:rRNA from 1 species
CGAACGCUGGCGGCGUGCUUAACACAUGCAAGUCGAGCGAUGAAGCUCCUUCGGGAGUGGAUUAGCGGCGGACGGGUGAGUAACACGUGGGUAACCUGCCUCAUAGAGGGGAAUAGCCUUUCGAAAGGAAGAUUAAUACCGCAUAAGAUUGUAGUGCCGCAUGGCAUAGCAAUUAAAGGAGUAAUCUGCUAUGAGAUGGACCCGCGUCGCAUUAGCUAGUUGGUGAGGUAACGGCUCACCAAGGCGACGAUGCGUAGCCGACCUGAGAGGGUGAUCGGCCACAUUGGGACUGAGACACGGCCCAGACUCCUACGGGAGGCAGCAGUGGGGAAUAUUGCACAAUGGGGGAAACCCUGAUGCAGCAACGCCGCGUGAGUGAUGACGGUCUUCGGAUUGUAAAGCUCUGUCUUCAGGGACGAU